UACGUAGGGGGCAAGCGUUGUCCGGAAUCACUGGGCGUAAAGGGUGAGUAGGCGGUUAUUUAAGUUGGGUGUGAAAUCCCCGGGCUUAACCUGGGAAUCGCACUCAAAACUGGGUAACUAGAGUGUCGGAGAGGAAAGCGGAAUUCCUGGUGUAGCGGUGAAAUGCGUAGAUAUCAGGAGGAACACCGGUGGCGAAGGCGGCUUUCUGGACGAUAACUGACGCUGAGGCACGAAAGCGUGGGGAGCAAACAGG
rnacentral:rRNA from 1 species